rnacentral:lncRNA from 1 species
CCUAAUAUGAGGACAAUUUAGCACAGAGACAUGAAGUAACUUGCCCAAGGUCACACAGCUGGUAAGGAACAGAGGUGAGAUUUGACUUAGGGCAGAGUCUUUGCUUUUCACCACUAGCCUCUUCGGCUUUAACUCCUCCGUCUCUAGGCAGUGUGUAUGUAGGGGCAACAUCUCCAUAGGGAUAGAGAGAAAAUGGGGCUGUUACCUUCCUCCAAGAAGAGAGGUUGAUUUCUGCGGCUCCCCUGCACUAGUUUGCUCCUGUGAAGAGCAGCUUCUGGAAGCCUAGCGAUGGUUUUGCUGAGGCAGCACGGCCACAUUCCAACCUUUUCCACCCAUUCUGGGGAGGAUGACUGAUUGGUAGAAUAGAGAACAAUGGAUGGUCUGAGGCCAGUGGAGCUGCAAGUGCCUGCUCUGGAAGGUUCCAUGCAUCGCACCUUGCCCAGGUGCUGGAGGAGCAGGAGAGGAGGCGAUUCUGAGCCAGUGUCCCCCUCCCUGGGCCGGCAGGGACCGUGAUCAUCGUGUUCUCUGAAAGAUUCCGCAGCGCAGUCCUGCCAAUUCUGCAGAAGUGUUGCUGUUGCUUAGAGCCUGUUCGCAGCCAAGCGGGAGAGUUUCUCCACAAACUGCCACUUCAGGGAAAACGCAGAAAAUAAAGUGCAGCCCAGCACGUUACAGAAAGGAGGCAGCACUGGGGUCCCCGACCGACCGUAAGGGCCCUGACUGGUCUGGCCUCGCCCUCUGACCUUGACUUGCUGUGUAUUGGCAGGCGCGUGAGUUUGCAGACUGAGGCUUCCUUGGUCUUUUCUCCAUAAUUUAAGGCUGAUCCUGGCUGGGAAAAUGCCCCCUUCUUAACUCCUUUUCUGGACCCUCUCUCACCUACUCCCAACAUCUGUCCUCAGGUAAGGAAGCCUUGGUUCAAUGCAUUCUUUUACGAAGUUGUUCUUAAAUACUUAAUACUGUCAUUUCUCCCAGGUGGCUUUGUAUUUUCAGAGGCCUGAUGUGUUUCCCAAACCUUAUGUGCAGAUGGAUCACCAAGGAUUUUAUUAAGAUGUGGAUUCAGAUCCAGCGUGUCUGGGAUGGGGCCUGGGACUAAGCAAUUAUGGCCCCAGGCGAUGUUGCUGCUGCUCUGUGGCCCAGACUUUGAGCAGACACGUCUGUAGUGGAACAGUGAAUAGUAGAAUGGCCGUGGGGAACACUUUGGGAAUGUGUAUGAG